rnacentral:rRNA from 1 species
AAUCAACGCUGGCGGCGUGCCUCAGACAUGCAAGUCGAACGAUUAAGACUUCCUUCGGGAAGUGUAUAAAGUGGCGCACGGGUGAGUAACACGUAAGUAAUCUACCUUCGAGUGGGGAAUAACGUUCGGAAACGAACGCUAAUACCGCAUAAUGCAGCGGCACCUAAUGGUGACAGUUGUUAAAGGAGCAAUUCGCUUGAAGAGGAGCUUGCGGCAGAUUAGCUAGUUGGUAAGGUAAUGGCUUACCAAGGCUACGAUCUGUAACCGGUCUAAGAGGACGGUCGGUCACACUGACACUGAAUAACGGGUCAGACUCCUACGGGAGGCAGCAGUCGGGAAUUUUGGGCAAUGGGCGAAAGCCUGACCCAGCAACGCCGCGUGAAGGAUGAAGUAUUUCGGUAUGUAAACUUCGAAAGAAUGGGAAGAAUCAAUGACGGUACCAUUUAUAAGGUCCGGCUAACUACGUGCCAGCAGCCGCAGUAAAAC